UCUGAACACCAACGAUCUAGCUGAGUGUUUUUGUCACGUUCUGACCAUAGUUCUUGUGUGUUUUCCUUGUUUUAGUGUUGGCCAGGACGUGAGCUGGGUGGGCAUUCUAUGUUGUGUGUCUAGUUUGUCCUUUUCUAUGUAUGGCCUGAUAUGGUUCUCAAUCAGAGGCAGGUGUUAGUCAUUGUCUCUGAUUGGGAACCAUAUUUAGGUAGCCUGUUUUGUGUUGGGUUUUGUGGGUGGUUGUUUCCUGUUUUUGUGUUCUCUGCACCAGAUAGGACUGUGUUGGGUUUUGUGGGUGGUUGUUACCUGUCUUUGUGUUCUCUGCACCAGAUAGGACUGUGUUGGGUUUUGUGGGUGGUUGUUUCCUGUCUCUGUGUUCUCUGCACCAGAUAGGUCUGUGUUGGGUUUUGUGGGUGGUUGUUUCCUGUCUUUGUGUUCUCUGCACCAGAUGGGGUUUUGUGGGUGGUUGUUUCCUGUCUUUGUGUUCUCUGCACCAGAUAGGACUGUGUUGGGGUUUGUGGGUGGUUGUUACCUGUCUUUGUGUUCUCUGCACCAGAUAGGACUGUGUUGGGGUUUUGUGGGUGGUUGUUACCUGUCUUUGUGUUCUCUGCACCAUAUGGGGUUUUGUGGGUGGUUGUUUCUUGUCUUUGUGUUCUCUGCACCAGAUAGGUCUGUGUUGGGUUUUGUGGGUGGUUGUUACCUGUCUUUGUGUUCUCUGCAUCAGAUGGGGUUUUGUGGGUGGUUGUUUCCUGUCUUUGUGUUCUCUGCACCAGAUAGUACUGUGUUGGGGUUUGUGGGUGGUUGUUACCUGUCUUUGUGUUCUCUGCACCAGAUAGGUCUGUGUUGGGUUUUGUGGGUGGUUGUUUCCUGUCUUUGUGUUCUCUGCACCAGAUAGGACUGUGUUGGGGUUUGUGGGUGGUUGUUACCUGUCUUUGUGUUCUCUGCACCAGAUAGGACUGUGUUGGGGUUUGUGGGUGGUUGUUACCUGUCUUUGUGUUCUCUGCACCAGAUAGGUCUGUGUUGGGAUUUUGUGGGUGGUUGUUUCCUGUCUCUGUGUUCUCUGCACCAGAUAGGACUGUGUUGGUUUGUGGGUGGUUGUUUCCUGUCUUUGUGUUCUCUGCACCAGAUAGGACUGUGUUGGGUUUUGUGGGUGGUUACCUGUCUUUGUGUUCUCUGCACCAGAUAGGACUGUGUUGGGGUUUGUGGGUGGUUGUUUCCUGUCUUUGUGUUCUCUGCACCAGAUAGGUCUGUGUUGGGGUUUGUGGGUGGUUACCUGUCUUUGUGUUCUAUGCACCAGAUAGGACUGUGUUGGGGUUUGUGGGUGGUUGUUUCCUGUCUUUGUGUUCUCUGCACCAGAUAGGUCUGUGUUGGGUUUUGUGGGUGGUUGUUACCUGUCUUUGUGUUCUCUGCACCAGAUGGGGUUUUGUGGGUGGUUGUUUCCUGUCUUUGUGUUCUCUGCACCAGAUAGGUCUGUUGGGUUUUGUGGGUGGUUGUUACCUGUCUUUGUGUUCUCUGCACCAGAUGGGGUUUUGUGGGUGGUUGUUACCUGUCUUUGUGUUCUCUGCACCAGAUAGGUCUGUGUUGGGGUUUGUGGGUGGUUGUUUCCUGUCUUUGUGUUCUCUGCACCAGUUAGGUCUGUUGGGUUUUGUGGGUGGUUGUUACCUGUCUUUGUGUUCUCUGCACCAGAUGGGGUUUUGUGGGUGGUUGUUACCUGUCUUUGUGUUCUCUGCACCAGAUAGGUCUGUGUUGGGGUUUGUGGGUGGGGUUUGUGGGUGGUUGUUUCCUGUCUUUGUGUUCUCUGCACCAGAUAGGUCUGUGUUGGGGUUUGUGGGUGGUUACCUGUCUUUGUGUUCUCUGCACCAGAUAGGACUGUGUUGGGGUUUGUGGGUGGUUGUUACCUGUCUUUGUGUUCUCUGCACCAGAUAGGUCUGUGUUGGGGUUUUGUGGGUGGUUGUUUCCUGUCUCUGUGUUCUCUGCACCAGAUAGGUCUGUGUUGGGGUUUGUGGGUGGUUACCUGUCUUUGUGUUCUCUGCACCAGAUAGGACUGUGUUGGGGUUUGUGGGUGGUUGUUACCUGUCUUUGUGUUCUCUGCACCAGAUAGGUCUGUGUUGGGGUUUUGUGGGUGGUUGUUUCCUGUCUCUGUGUUCUCUGCACCAGAUAGGACUGUGUUGGUUUGUGGGUGGUUGUUUCCUGUCUUUGUGUUCUCUGCACCAGAUAGGACUGUGUUGGGUUUUGUGGGUGGUUGUUACCUGUCUUUGUGUCCUCUGCACCAGAUAGGUCUGUGUUGGUGUUUG